GACGGAGGAUGCAAGCGUGAUCCGGAAUGAUUGGGCGUAAAGCGUCCGCAGGUGGCAGUUCAAGUCUGCUGUCAAAGACCGGGGCUUAACUUCGGAAAGGCAGUGGAAACUGAACAGCUAGAGUAUGGUAGGGGCAGAGGGAAUUCCUGGUGUAGCGGUGAAAUGCGUAGAGAUCAGGAAGAACAUCGGUGGCGAAGGCGCUCUGCUGGACCAUAACUGACACUCAGGGACGAAAGCUAGGGGAGCGAAUGGG
rnacentral:rRNA from 1 species